rnacentral:rRNA from 1 species
GACGAACGCUAGCGGGAGGCUUAACACAUGCAAGUCGAGGGGCAUCACGAGGUAGCAAUACUUUGGUGGCGACCGGCGCACGGGUGAGUAACGCGUAUGCAACCUACCCUGUACAGUGGGAUAACCCGGAGAAAUUCGGACUAAUACCGCAUAAAGAUAUUUUGAGGCAUCUUAAGAUAUUUAAAGCUUAGGUGGUACGGGAUGGGCAUGCGUAACAUUAGCUGGUUGGUAGGGUAACGGCCUACCAAGGCGAUGAUGUUUAGGGGACCUGAGAGGGUGAUCCCCCACACAGGUACGGAGACACGGACCAGACUCCUACGGGAGGCGGCAGUGAGGAAUAUUGGUCAAUGGGCGGAAGCCUGAACCAGCCAUCCCGCGUGCAGGAAGACAGCCCUAUGGGUUGUAAACUGCUUUUCCAGUGGGCGAAACACUCGUACGUGUACGAGAUUGACGGUACACUGGGAAUAAGCAUCGGCUAACUCCGUGCCAGCCGCCGCAGUAACAC